UACGGAGGGAGCUAGCGUUGUUCGGAAUUACUGGGCGUAAAGCGCACGUAGGCGGCUUUGUAAGUUAGAGGUGAAAGCCCGGGGCUCAACUCCGGAACUGCCUUUAAGACUGCAUCGCUUGAAUCCGGGAGAGGUGAGUGGAAUUCCGGGUGUAGUGGUGAAAUGCGUAGAGAUCCGGAGGAACACCAGUGGCGAAGGCGGCUCGCUGGACCUGACCUGACGCUGAGGCGCGAAGGCGUGGGGAGCGAACGGG
rnacentral:rRNA from 1 species